rnacentral:rRNA from 1 species
AGCUCCAAUAGCGUAUAUUAAAGUUGUUGCAGUUAAAAAGCUCGUAGUUGGAUUUCUGAGCGUGUGCGCCUGCCCCACUGGGGUAACCCAGCGAGUGGCGGUGUGCGCCGUUCAUAUGAGGUGAAUCUCCAUUGCCGGUCAAACGGUGAUGGCUGACCCCUCGCUAUACUUUGAAAAAAUUAGAGUGUUUAAAGCAGGCUUGCGCUAUGAAUACAUUAGCAUGGAAUAUUAAUUUAGGACUUUGUUUCUAUUU